CCUACGGGGUGCAGCAGUGGGGAAUAUUGCACAGUGGGCGCAAGCCUGAUGCAGCCAUGCCGCGUGUAUGAAGAAGGCCUUCGGGUUGUAAAGUACUUUCAGCGGGGAGGAGGGUGUUGUGGUUAAUAACCGCAGCAAUUGACGAUACCCGCAGAAGAAGCACCGGCUAACUCCGUGCCAGCAGCCGCGGUAAUACGGAGGGUGCAAGCGUUAAUCGGAAUUACUGGGCGUAAAGCGCACGCAGGCGGUCUGUCAAGUCGGAUGUGAAAUCCCCGGGCUCAACCUGGGAACUGCAUUCGAAACUGGCAGGCUAGAGUCUUGUAGAGGGGGGUAGAAUUCCAGGUGUAGCGGUGAAAUGCGUAGAGAUCUGGAGGAAUACCGGUGGCGAAGGCGGCCCCCUGGACAAAGACUGACGCUCAGGUGCGAAAGCGUGGGGAGCAAACAGGAUUAGAUACCCGGGUAGUC
rnacentral:rRNA from 1 species